UACGUAGGGUCCAAGCGUUAUCCGGAAUUACUGGGCAUAAAGCGUGUGUAGGCGGCGCGUUAAGUGCAACCGCGAAAAUCUUGCGGCUCAACCGUAUAGACUGUGUUGCAUACUGGCGUGCUUGAGGAUGGCAGAGGCAAGUGGAAUUUGUAGUGUAGCAGUGAAAUGCGUAGAUAUUACAAGGAACACCAAUGGCGAAGGCAGCUUGCUGGGGCCAUAUCUGACGCUGAGACACGAAAGCGUGGGGAGCGAACAGG
rnacentral:rRNA from 1 species